rnacentral:rRNA from 1 species
UACGUAGGGCGCAAGCGUUGUCCGGAAUUAUUGGGCGUAAAGGGCUCGUAGGCGGCUUGUCACGUCGAUUGUGAAAGCCCGAGGCUUAACCUCGGGUCUGCAGUCGAUACGGGCUAGCUAGAGUGUGGUAGGGGAGAUCGGAAUUCCUGGUGUAGCGGUGAAAUGCGCAGAUAUCAGGAGGAACACCGGUGGCGAAGGCGGAUCUCUGGGCCAUUACUGACGCUGAGGAGCGAAAGCGUGGGGAGCGAACAGG